rnacentral:rRNA from 1 species
CCUACGGGGGGCAGCAGUGAGGAAUAUUGGUCAAUGGCCGGAAGGCUGAACCAGCCAUGCCGCGUGAAGGUCAGUGCCCUAUGGGCGUUAAACUUCUUUUGUGCGGGAGCAAUAAUGGUCACGUGUGGCCAGACGAGAGUACCGUACGAAUAAGCAUCGGCUAACUCCGUGCCAGCAGCCGCGGUAAUACGGGGGAUGCAAGCGUUAUCCGGAUUUAUUGGGUUUAAAGGGUGCGUAGGCUGUGAGGUAAGUCAGCGGUGAAAUGCCCCCGCUCAACGGGGUGAAGUGCCAUUGAUACUGGCUUGAUGGAAUGCGUAUGCGGUGGGAGGAAUGUGUGGUGAAGGGGGGAAAUGCAUAGAUAUCACACAGAACACCGAUUGCGAAGGCAUCUCACGAACCCGCGAUUGACGCUGAUGCACGAAGGCGUGGGUAUCAAAAAGGAUUAGAUACCCCAGUAGUC